GAUGAACGCUGGCGGCGUGCCUAAUACAUGCAAGUCGAGCGAACGGACGAGAAGCUUGCUUUUCUGAUGUUAGCGGCGGACGGGUGAGUAACACGUGGAUAACCUACCUAUAAGACUGGGAUAACUUCGGGAAACCGGAGCUAAUACCGGAUAAUAUUUUGAACCGCAUGGUUCAAAGGUGAAAGACGGUCUUGCUGUCACUUAUAGAUGGAUCCGCGCUGCAUUAGCUAGUUGGUAAGGUAACGGCUUACCAAGGCAACGAUGCAUAGCCGACCUGAGAGGGUGAUCGGCCACACUGGAACUGAGACACGGUCCAGACUCCUACGGGAGGCAGCAGUAGGGAAUCUUCCGCAAUGGGCGAAGGCCUGACGGAGCAACGCCGCGUGAGUGAUGAAGGUCUUCGGAUCGUAAAACUCUGUUAUUAGGGAAGAACAUAUGUGUAAGUAACUGUGCACAUCUUGACGGUACCUAAUCAGAAAGCCACGGCUAACUACGUG
rnacentral:rRNA from 1 species